rnacentral:rRNA from 1 species
UACGGAAGGGGCAGGCGUUGCUCGGAAUCACUGGGCGUAAAGCGCACGUAGGCGGAUUGCUAAGUCAGGGGUGAAAUCCUGGAGCUCAACUCCAGAACUGCCUUUGAUACUGGCGAUCUCGAGUCCGGGAGAGGUGAGUGGAACUGCGAGUGUAGAGGUGAAAUUCGUAGAUAUUCGCAAGAACACCAGUGGCGAAGGCGGCUCACUGGCCCGGUACUGACGCUGAGGUGCGAAAGCGUGGGGAGCAAACAGG